rnacentral:rRNA from 1 species
UACGUAGGUCCCGAGCGUUGUCCGGAUUUAUUGGGCGUAAAGCGAGCGCAGGUGGUUUAUUAAGUCUGGUGUAAAAGGCAGUGGCUCAACCAUUGUAUGCAUUGGAAACUGGUAGACUUGAGUGCAGGAGAGGAGAGUGGAAUUCCAUGUGUAGCGGUGAAAUGCGUAGAUAUUAGGAGGAACACCAGUGGCGAAGGCGGCCUGCUGGGCUUUUACUGACGCUGAGGCUCGAAAGCGUGGGGAGCAAACAGG